AAAGUUUGUUACCUAACCACAGUUAAUCAUUAACAUUUGUAAUUGUAAUUGUAACUCUUGUGAUUAAGGGUAUGUUUGGCCAUAAAAAAAGAUUCUUGAAGUUAAAUUUUGGAAAUUUAUCGGAACUUGAAAGUUAUUUUUCAAAAUUUUCACAUGAAAGCACUCACAAAAAUUCAAAAACAGCUACAAAUUAUAUUCAUGUCCGAACACAACUCUAAUUUUCAAAUACCAUUUUCAACUUGAAAUUUUUUCACCUUUUUCUAAAAUUUCACAAUUCUUAUGUCCACCCACUAAAUAAGUUUUAGGGGUUAUAUUGCGAUUUAAUUACUUUUUAAGGGAAUUUAUAUUAGUUUUCAAAUGUCAUAAUGUUGUUAGUUAAAUGCUCUUUCAGUUAUUCUGGAUUCCACCUGUGGAUUACAGGCAGUUAUUUUAGCUUCAGUUUUUGAGCCACUUUAAAUGCUUUUGAAAAUAAGAUACUACGUUUGAAUGAUCAUUUUCAAUGUCUCUUUGGACUGGCUCAAGCUGUUACAAAUCAUAAUACUUAUGUUCAAAUUGAAUUUAUAGAGCUUGUUAAUGCUGCAUUUUUACCUUUACUUUCAAGAUUUCUUAAGUACACCAUUAGAUUGAAAAGCUAAGAACUGAAAUUGUGUCAUAUUGGACCUGCAGUUUGCUCAUAGGAAAUGUAUACAGAGAUGGUGCAACAAAAAAGGUGACAUAACCUGUGAAAUCUGUAAUAAGGUUGGUAAAUUUUAAACACUUCCGCUGUAAUUAGAAGAUAUUUAUCUAGCCUCAAGUGAAAAUUGAGAUGUUAUUUUUCUUCAAUCAGGUCUUUUCACCAAACUAUACCCUUCCACCUGCAAGAAGCAACCCUGAUGUAAUGGCAAUUGAUAUCAGGUAAGGUUGUCAGUUGUAUAAUAUUUGAUGUGUUUUCUCAAAUCUUGCAGUCACAUUUCUGUGUAAUACAUGCUUCAUUUAAAAAAAGUUCUUUUUUAGUUGUUGUGUGUAUGGCACUUUUAGUGGUUCCGGCUCAUUGAAACUUGCUGUAUAUGUUGGGACAAACUGUUUUGUAGGUUCA
rnacentral:lncRNA from 1 species